rnacentral:rRNA from 1 species
GACGAACGCUGGCGGCGUGCCUAACACAUGCAAGUCGAACGGUAACAGGCCCUUCGGGGUGCUGACGAGUGGCGGACGGGUGAGUAAUGCGUGGGAAUCUACCUGGCAAUGGGGGAUAACCCGGGGAAACUCGGGCUAAUACCGCAUACGCCCCCAUGGGGGAAAGCGGGGGACCUUCGGGCCUCGCGUUGUCAGAUGAGCCCACGUCCGAUUAGCUAGUUGGUGGGGUAAUGGCCUACCAAGGCGACGAUCGGUAGCUGGUCUGAGAGGACGACCAGCCACACUGGGACUGAGACACGGCCCAGACUCCUGCGGGAGGCAGCAGUGGGGAAUUUUGGACAAUGGGCGAAAGCCUGAUCCAGCGAUGCCGCGUGGGUGAAGAAGGCCUGCGGGUUGUAAAGCCCUUUCGAUGGGAAAGAAAAGCCUGGAGCUAAUACCUCCGGGUCUUGUACGUUACCCAGAGAAGAAGCACCGGCUAACUCCGUGCCAGCAGCCCGCGGUAAACUGUAGUCGU